UAGUGGUCAUGAGGAAACAAACACUCUUGGACAAAGGAGUGACGCUGUGCUGGUGGUGGUUGUGCUGGAGGUGGUGCUGAUGGUGGUGGUGGUGGUGGUGCUUCUUGUACUGGUGGUGACGGUGGUGGUGGGGAUGGCGGGGGUGAUGGGGGUGGUGGUAGUGGUAGUGGUGAUUCUGAUACUGGUGGGGACGGUCGUGGUGGUGGUGGUGGUUUCUCCUCCUCCGUGAUGUCUGAUCCUCGUCGCCGCUGCGGGUGUGCGCUCUGUGGCUGUGGAGUGCGAGGUGCUCCAGGCUCGGGACUUUUGGAGCCACUCACUCCGCCACCCUGGACCUGUCUUUGAGCGUCCCCCCCCCUCCGUGAUACCCGCUUCUUCACCGCCGCCAGCGUCUUCGUUAGCGCCUCGAGCGAUGUUGUGCUAAUUAACAUUGGCAGUGGAGCAGACCGAGAGGGAACGAGAAGGAAGAAAAAAUCAUGACCGCUUACGUACGAAAGUCAAUUUGUGUCGCCAGCCAUGAAAGGCCCUGAGGGAAAACACUUGUCAGCGUUUGUCACACUAAGUGGCACUCGAACGCCCCGCCCCCGGACAAGGUUCAGCCAACCAGAAAGCGGCACAGAAGUAAGCCCCGCCUUCCGUGUAUUAUCCAAUCAAGAGUCGUGAUUUGGAGCUUUUCGAGCCACUCACGCAAAGGCUUCCAUUAAAACGGAGAUAAGUCACGCCAAUGAAGAUAACUGUUACAUCAUCCGAGGUAAUGAGUCUUACAACUCUGCUCCACAGCUUCUUGAGGAGUGUGCCCAAGACAUCAGGAAAGGCUGACUUAUUCUGCCGCCUGGGGAUCUGCAUCAGCGGGAUGGCCGGGCCGUGCUGCUCGGGGCGCCCCGCGCGGAGGCCACUCUAGCUGGGGGGAGAUAUUUCUUAUUUAACCCUCGUAUACAAGUAACACUCCAUUACCUUGCCGCGUUUACACACCUUCAGCUCUUGAUUACAUGAACAUAAAAUAAACCAGAGAGGACCUUGACUGUCAACACUAGAUUAUCUUGAUUAGAGACCAUUGCCAGAGCGGUGCCGCGCGAGGAGAGACAACUUGGCACUGCGCCGCCAGAUGGCACCACUUUCCGGUGAUGGUUCCUCCUCGUAACUUUGAAAACCUCAUGUGACAGCCAUCUCCCUUUAUGUGUCACACUCAUAAAUAAAAUGAUGAACCCUGUCUGCAGUUUUCUGUGGGCGCAAUGGAGGGUUCGCGUCGCCGAGGUGCUGCUGGCUGCCAACACCCUCUCGAUAACAAAUGCAAACCCGAGGGAGGACUGUGCGGGACAGCCAGGAGUGCGUGGCCAUCGCGAGAAGCUUGUGUGUCAUUGACGUGGUGACGAACUCCGAAGUGAGCGAGAGGAUGAGGACGAGGCUGACUGGGAAGGUGGUGGUGGUGGUGAUGGCGGUGUUGGAAAAAUCAAUAAGCGAGAAGAAACGGGACGCGGGAUGACAACAACACACUCUGGCAGAUAAUAAACACUCGACCAUCAAUUUGGGUGUUUUAAUUGUGAUUUUAAUGAGUCCUGCGUGGUGACAGGUUUUAUGCCCCAGUGACUGUCGAGCCGCUCUGCGGUCUUCAAAAAAUCAUACAGUAAUUAUUGUAGGAUUAAUCACACAAAUUAUAAUGGCGCCUUUAGUGUUGAUAGUGUAGACUGACGUGUGACAAGACAACCAAAGCCUUGUAUUUAUUUAUUUUAGCUGAUGAUUUGAUUCA